CCACUAGACGAUGAGGACUUGAUGUCCUACAUUCUUGCCAGUCUCGACGACGACUGGGAACCGGUGGUGUCUUCCCUCGUUGGGAGAUCAGAUGCAGUUCCUUCACUGAGCUCUACUCUCAACUUCUGAGCUUCGAAU
rnacentral:snoRNA from 1 species